rnacentral:lncRNA from 1 species
GCAGGCUCGGUGCCUCUGCGACCCAGUCAGGGUGGCCCCAUCCCAUAAACCAUGCCCCCCGGGGAAAGGAUCUGAUUAACAGAGGACACCAAGGCGGUCCGUCCACAACCAGCGGGUAGGUGGCACUCCUCCUUCCCACCUCCACGCUUCCUGAGGGAUCUCACGUUUAACAGGGGAUGGGAGGCAGCUCAUUCAUGAAUCAGGACAGUGAAGACGAAGCUUUCUAAGAGCUUGCUGGAAAUACUCAACAGAAGAAAGAGGAAACGGCACCAGGAAAUCCGAAUAAGAGGGAGCGAGCUCUAAAUUUAGCUCAAAGCUCAUGGCCUCCCUGGGAAAAAGGCAGGCACGCUUGUUUAUUUAGUUCUCUGUGUCUGACAAAAGCGAGUAACGCAGAAUCGAAGGUCUGGCGAAGCGAGGUGCCAUGUGGAGGGGAAGAGAGCCUUAGAGAGACCCGGGGCUAAGGUCCAGGGCGGACGUGGGACGAGACAUCACCUUCUUUGAGCAUGAGCUGUCUUAUCUGUAAAAUAAAGGCAGUUAUUGAAAGCAGGGUGCCAGGAAGGCUCUCCCCACUUCCUGGCUCCUUAUUCCAGGAGGCAACGUGUCAUGGGGACCUUACAUAAGAUCCAGUGGGUAAGAGAAGAGACAGUGCCAUCUGGAGAAAUCCACCUCCUUCCUGCUGGUGGCCCCAUCGUCUCUCAGGAACACUCCUCCCAAAGGAAAGAAACAUACCCCUGGGCCCUGGAGGUGGGAGCAGAGAAGAGUUCCUGGCCUGGGACUGAGGGUCCAGGCCCCAGGGCUGCUGAAGCGGGGAGUUCUGUCUGCGUCUGCAGCUCGUCUUGGAGCGGAAAGCUGGCAGCCCUAGAGGCUGCUGAAGGAGCCUCCGUUCCUUGGAAGCCAGACACGACCACAUUCCCUGAGGCUGGCCAGCUCCUCUGUCUGGACCGUCCCACUGUGUUCUGUGGAAUCCCGCUCCCUCCGGUGCCUCUUCUGUGGGACUGCUGUCCUCAUGGGACCCCUCUCUCAUCCCCUCGUUUCACAUCAGGCCUCCCGGGAUGGAAACUCAGAUUACAAAAUUGUUU